UAACUUUUAUCUGUCGUUUGAACUCUCUAGGAACUGAAUUUACGGCAGCAGUGACUCAUUUAACAGAGUUUAUCAUGGCAUUGCACCCUGGUAAUGUCAGGUGUUUACCUUCAACAGAAUGAAAUCCCAAAUGCUUUACUGGUACCAUGAAUUAAAAAAAAAAAAAAGAAUUGGGGUGCCUGGGUCGUUUGGGCAAGUGACUUCGGCUCAGGUCAUGAUCUCAUGGUUUGUGAGUUCGAGCCCCGCGUCGGGCUCUGUGCUGACAGCUCAGGGCCUGGAGCCUGCUUCGGAUUCUGUGUCUCCCUCUCUCUGCCCCUCCCCCACUCAUGCUCUGUCUGUCUCUAUGUCAGAAAUAAAUAAACUUAAAAAAAAAGGAAUCAUUAUGGAAAAUGACUGUUUUCUAGUUUGUAGCUUCUGAUUACAUUUCUGUAAAAGUGACGUCAUUUAAUUAACUUGAAGCGCUCUUCUGCCAGGGGAGCCAGCACAUGAACAGCUGUCUUCACUUUUUCUAUGUGCCCAAGAACAAUAGAAUGAAAUUGAUACAGUAAGUUGAUUAAUAAAUAGAAUACAGAGACAUUAAUAAAUUAAUAAUAAAUAAUUACUAGAAUAAAACUGUAGAGCAACGUUUACUUGGUCUAGAUGAAAGUCUUGCUUUCCUGCAUAUUUUCCACAGCUGCGCGUGUCAGGUCAUUGUGUUCCGGCACAGUCUUUGGGAGCUGACACCGACACUUGAGCAGAUGUGCGUCUUCUGGUUUUUGUGGGAUCAGCGAUAGCAUGUGACUCCUCUAGUAGAGGACUAAGAUUUCCCUGGUUUUCCACUGUACCCAAUGGUGACCUGCUGACUUUGGGUAGCUCUCAUGUUAAGACGGCAGAGGCAGCUGCACCAAAUCUCCUCUUAUCAUUAUCCCAGAUGGAUGAGAGCUCUUCCCAGCUGCUGGUGUUCUGUCACUUUCUUUGGUGUGGGCUGUCCUGGAAGGUGUGUGAACUUCGAUGGGGCCACUCUCUGAAGCUGAGGCUGACCCUGAAGAGGCUGACAGAGGCUGGCUGUUCACUGUGCUGCCCACACCUGGCCAGCAAGUUCCACCUUGAAGAAGCAUCUCGACAUCAGAGAGCCUGCCAUACAUUGUGUCUAGACAAGAUUGGAAAAAAUGAGAUCGAUUACCUCCGGGCAUCCUCUGAUCUAACCAGAGUAAGAACUCCGUUCACUACAUAAGUGUCUCGUGUGCUACCAGACGUGUAGAAAGCCGAAAGCACCAAGUGGCACCGGUCAUUGCUGUGAGCUGCUUGGAAAGUCAACUGUGAGAUGGAGAUGAGCAUCCAGGAGUUUGUUGGGGCGUGUUCUUGGGACCACCCACUCUGGGAGGGGAGCGAGGGAGGUGGCCUGGGCAGGAGGAGAAGCUGGCCUGUGAGGGGGGCCUCAACACAAGCCAACCCAAGCUCCCGUGGGGAGCCUCGAAGCCGGGCCAGGCUUUUCUACCUCUCCAUAAACAAGUCAUUGAACCUGGGCACCCUGGGAAGAGGACGUGGCCAUGUUGAGAUGCCACUUUUCAUCUGAAGCAAGUCUGAGGAGGGCUGAUGGCUGGGGCUUUCUCCAGAAGCCCUCCUGGAAGCUUCAGGAAUAAUCCUGAUGGGUCUCUGAGGGGUACCUCACAGCAUCCCCACUGGAAGCGGACUGAGCCUGUCCCGGCUAACUUAGGCCACUGCUACUGUUGCCGCUGCUGCUGCCACCCCUGCUGUUACUUAAAGAAUCCUGAACAAAUGCUGAAAAGAGGUCACGCCUGAGACAGCAGCUAUACACGCGGCUGUCCCUGAGCAAAUCAGGAGGCAGCCACCCUGUCUGUAGCAGAGUUCAAGGCAUGAUUUCCAGGAGAAAGGACGACUUACAUUUACCAGCCUUGAAAGAUGGUGAGACUGAGACACAGAGGAGCAGCCCCUUACGUGCUUCCACAUAUCUGUUACGUGAGGUAUCCAGAAUUCAACCUUGAUGACCAAACUCCAUAACCGUGCUCUCAACGAUUGCACUAAGUACUUUAACUAAAGGCAAACAUGGGGAGCAGAACGUAUACUUCUGCCCAGGUUCUGUUUCAAGAUCAUGUGACACUUAGUUCUGAUGACAAAUAAUCCUGCCAAUGCAGCCACAGUAACCUGUGUUAAGGCAGAAGAAAGAUUUGUAGGUGAGCUCCCCUGCAGCUUGUGGGGACUCUUCAUUUUGUUCUCACACUGGAGUGGGUCCUGCAGAGGUAGAGGGGCUCUGGCAGUGGCCUCACUGAGCACUCCCACAGGAGCCAACCCUGCAGUCCACAGCCACACUUCCCUGGCACCUGUGGAGAAGGUCGCCUUGGGCUUGGUCACAGCCCAGUUAGGUAGUCAGGGUCACAAGGCUGCGAGGUGAACAGCAAAGACAGCCUAAGCAGAGGCAUUUCAUUCCAUACAGAAUCUUCAGGGUCUGCCACAGGACCUGUCUCCUCACCAGCAGUCAAGAAAUGUCUGGUGAAGGAGCUAGAAGGAAAAGCUAUGAAGCUGGUUUGACUGGCUUUAUGAAACUGCAUCCCUCUGCUGUUAGAAUGAUUCGAAUGCCAUGCUUAACAAAGCUCUGAUUCCCAUGCUUUCCUCCUCUUUGGAACCAUUUUAGUCUUCAGAACCUGCUGUAAGCACGCUCGUCAACACAACUGCACAUGCAUGGGGCUCCUGCCAAAGUGUGGGUUUGUGGCGACACAGAUUCAGUUGUGACUGUGUGGCGUUAACUUCCUGCAUCCGAAAGCAGGGGCAGUCAAUUAAAACCCUGAUUUAUUUACACAUCCCCUCUCUUUCUUUCAAUUGAAUAUCUUGUUCAGAAGAAUUCUAUUAAUAUGAUUUAUCACAAUAAACAGCAUGGUUCCUGCUUUAAUUGAUUCAUCUUUUUCUCCAUCUAAAAUGUUUCCUAUAUCUCUAUUCUGCAUCAACUUUUAGUGUCCUUUUCACAACCCCCCCCCCCCCCGCUCCAUAUCUUCACUGACUUUGAUCAUUUCUACAGAGUCUAGAUUUUUUAUAUAGUCUACAUCUUAAAUCACUCAUUUUCUCAUUUUUAAAGUGCUGGUUAUAAUCAUCCCUUAAAUUUACUGAAAUUAGCAUGAGUUUUUAAACCAUUAGUCAAAAAAGAAGAGGCUUUUUUAAAAGAAACUCCCUGCUGUUCUUUGUGGAUGAAACAGUUGACAUUUUGUUAAGAGAUUUUUAUCUGACUUUAAUUCUGUAGCUUUAAUGUAUUCUUCACAGUUAUAAAUGGAGCGGUUUGUCCUAAAUGGAAGUGUAUCUAUAUAAGCAUAGUUAUAUCCAGUCUUUAAAAUGGAUCAUUUCAUUUCACACAUGCUAUAGAAUCUUGAAUUUCACCUUUACUCAUCUCAAUUUCUUUACUAAAAACGACUCUGUUGCUCCAAAUUCCUAUAUCAAUGGAUUGGAUAUAUCAAAUUGUAGUAGUAAUUGUUCGUAAGUACAUAUUUUAUAACAUGUACUAAUGGAAUAAUAAAAUAUAUUGCAAUAACAAUAUGCUCUGCCUGAUAGAAUUUCAUCAUGGGACUCCAUUAACGCAUUCGGCUGGUAUCAGCUUUUGAAAACGCCUUCCGUUGUGGUGCAAGGAAAAUGCUCUGUAUAAUAGUGAAUGGUGAAAAUGGGAUUCAAAUAGGAAUUUCUAGGAAGGCUGAGCAGAAUGAAAGAAUACAGAAACAUGAACGGAUGCUGACCAUGCAGUUUUGAUAUUGCUUGAAACUGGAUUGAUCCUGUGGAUCCCUGUGCUCUCAUCACACCCCAGCCUCUCACCCCUUACAGGUCAGGGGCUACCCUCAUGCCUGAAUGACACUGCUUUGCUCAGGUCACCAAAGGGUUCCUAAUUGGCAUCCCCAGUGGCCACAUGUUAGCCUUCAUCUUCGUCAGGCAGCCAUUAGCCCUUCCUUUUUCUAAUUUCCCUCUUCCCUGGACUUGGCCCUCCUACCUCCCUGAAAAAUCCCUUUCAAGCACAUUGGUCUGUAGGGCUCCAUGCCUCACAGCCUUUCUGGUCCCUGGGUUCCAUCUCUGCUCUUCUCCCCUGGGGAUCUCCCCUCCUCUUGCCUCUGCACCAACCCCAGGGCUGACUUUUCACCCCCUGCCAAUACCUGCAGAAUGCAGAGACCUGAAGUUCAACUUGUCCAAAACCAGACAAUAAUUCACUGUCCCUCAGAUCAGCUCUCCUGGGGCUGUUGGCCCUGUGCUUCUCCCCCAGGUCUCCCAGUGGUCCUUUUGGUCUGUUCUGUCACACCCAGCCUGAGUCCCCGGUUCUUCUGCCACCAGAUCGUUUGGUUUUUCUCCCUGUAUUUCAUUCCUGGGUUUGGUCCUCCUUAUUUUCUGCUACUGGAAAAUGAGGACAGAUGCCGGAGUCGUUUCCCUGAUUCUUUCCUCAUCUUCUCGGAUUCAUCCUGCUCAGUAUUGGAAAUCAGUUCUCAGGCCAAGCGCCUACUAAAAACACCACCAGUGAUUCCCUACUGUUUACCAAUUAAAGUUUAUUAAAGUGUCUCCAUGACCAAGCUGUAAUUUCUUCCCAGAGUUAUUUUCCAGCACAAAAUAUAUAUUCUCUCUGCACUGCCGCCGAAUUUAAUUGCUUGUAAACGUUACAGUUAAUAAAUAUUAUUUCCAGUAGCUCUCAGGUACUGUAAAUGAAUAAACGACAUAAGAAGGAUGACUUAAUAUUGCCCUCUCACCAUGAGACAGUUAAUCAUAAAAUUAUAACUUUGAAAUAAUAUGUAAAGUCUAAGCACUUUUUUUUACUUGUUUCAGUCAUGUAGGUUGCCUUCAGAAUUGCACUAAAGACGAAAAUCAUUUUCUUUUUUUGUGUAUGUGCUUCUCCUGUUUCAUAGGAAGGAAACUGAUACCUUGAGUUUUAACACCUGACUUUUUCUUACCAAAAUUAAAGCUCGUUUAACUUACAUAGAUUAUACGUAGACUUUUUCGAUCUUAAUUAACUCUUGGUCUGGUUUCAUGUGUUUCUUGACCACCAUUUCCAUGAUCUUGGUCACAAUCCAUUUGACGUAUCUCUCAGCAAAAAGCUGGCCCGUCAGUUAGGAAAUGGAGGCACAUUUUGCACCUUUUCCCAGCCUUUAGCACACCAUCUGACCUCUUGGCAGCUGUCCCUCCCUCUCUCCACAGCCCCUUCCUUUCCAACCUUGUGCCUCAAAGAGAUCCCUGGACUUAUGGGACUUUGCCUUCUGCUCUUCCUUAUUUCCAUAAAUAUACAAUGCAGCACAUACUGUAAUCACUUAUAGAAUUUAAAUAGGUAAUAUAUUUACAGUGGUAUUUAUUUAUUUUUUCUCCUUCAACAAAGCUGGGCUUCUGAAACGUCACUGGCUUUCUAUGAUACUUUGUCAAGCCAUCUUGAUCAUGUUUCUGGGCUCAUUACAUUAUUUUCAAGGUGGAAGGUGUCUUUCUCUAGAACCCUCUGUUUGUAAACAGGUACUCAUUUCCCUUCAGAGAACCACGCCCCAUGGGCCUGGAGGAUGCUGGAACUCACACCAUAUAGCUGAAUGUUUGGCUUAGUUACAAUUGGGUAAAGCCUCUGACCCUGCUCCUAAGCUCUGAUUUCCAAUAGCUACAGGGAUUUCCUCUACUUCUGACCUGACUGGACCUGUUGUGUAACUGGUACAGUAUGGUAGCCCUAAUGUGGAGAAAAAUGAGCAACAGUUCUCUGGAGGCAGACAAGGGAUUGAUUUCGAACAUAGGGAUUGAUUACAUUUCAGGCAACAGGACUGUAAUUUAAGGGGUAAGGCAGAGUCAAUGAGGCCAAUAUAAUGGUUUCCUCUACAAGCACUGAUGCAAUUAGCAACUCAUUUUAAUUGAAAAGGUGCAGGAACUCUUGGCCCUGUUCCUAUGGCCUUCGUCACAAUAGGAAAUGGGAGGGAAAACCAAGUCAGGAUUCGCUUUGGUGGAAUGGUAAUGCAUAUUUCGUAAUACCAAAUCUAGGAACCAUAAAUCACUUUAGUAGAAAGUACUGUUAUAAUAUGCCAUUGGUCUGGCUUUGAAUGAGAAUAAUUGGCAUUUUAUUUAUGUGAUUUAUUGCAGGUUAGUAUGGAGAAUCUUUAUCCCAAAAGCCACUCUUAUCAUGCAGUCCUUGGUCCUAAAUCUUUGCCAGACUUGCCAAACAGAAAUUCAGUUUAUUAAGGCUAAAGCCUUCUGGCUAUUGAAGUCCCUUCUUACAUGCUAUCAUACUUUAGUAAACAUAAGUAGCACCUAGAAUGCUACCUCUCUGAUUCUGAUUCACUGGGUCGAAGAUGGGAGCCAGUUUGAAGAUGGGAACUUGUAUUUUCCUUAAGCAUCCUAAGUGAGUCUGGUAUAUGAAUUGUAUUUUGAUAAAUACUGCUCUACAUCUAGAGAUAACAUUUAAGUAGGUAAUUAUUAAAUGUCUCAGGCUUAUCUGAAAUCAAUUUUUCCUUAACAGCAUGUUGGAAUAUUGGAACACAAAUCAGCUAAGUUUCAAGAGAGGGUCAUGGCAAGAAAAAAGUAUGAAGCACAGGGCAGUAGUUUGAGAAAACAUGCUCAGACUGGGUGUCUAGGCAGGGAGCCCUGUCAGAAGCUAGCAUAAAGGUACUGAGUGCAUGUGGAAGGCAGCAGGGUGAAGACUAAAGUUGGAUUGGUCUCUGGGGGGCAAUUGUCUGGGAUUCACUCUUGGGGUCAUGUAAGAUUAAGUGUUUCUGGGGUGCCUGGGUGGUUCCGUCAGUUAAACGGCCACCUCUUGAUUUUGGCUCAGGUCAGGAUCUCAAGGUUUGUGAGAUCGAGCCGUGCAUCUGGCUUCGUGCUCUCAGCGGGGAGGAGAUUCCUUGGGAUUCUCUGUCUCUCUCUGCCCCUCCAACCCCUCAAAAUGAAUAAAUAAACUUUUUAUUUAUUUUUAUUAUUUUUUUUAUUAAAGAGUGUUUCCUUCUGUUUUGCACCCUAGGUACCUCACUCACCUCACCCUAGUGCUGGCUUUGGUAGAUAGCUUCUGCAAUGGCUGCCAGUGGUCCCACCUUGUGGUAUUCAUGCCCUUGUGUAAUCUGCUGCUCUUGUGUGUGGACUGAAGCUAGUGACUUGUUUCUAAUGAGUAGAAUAUAGCAAAGGUGAUGGGAUGUCACUUCCAAGAGUAGGUUAUAAAAGACUGUGACUUCCAUCUUCUACCCCCUCUCAUGCUCUUUUGUUUUUUAACUCUGAUGAAACAAGUUGCCAUUUGUGAUUUAUUGUGGCUUAUUGCCAUUUCUGCCUUAUUGAGAGACCUAUGUGGCAGGGAACUGAGGGGAGCCUCUAGACCAUAGCCAGUGGAUCCUUCCCUGGUUGAAUCUUGACGUAAGACCACAGCCUCAGCUGACACCUUGACUGUAAUCUUUGGGAGACCCUGAACCAGAAGCCCCAACUAAGUCUUGCCCAGAUUCCUGACCACAGAAACUGAGAGAGUAAAUCUUGUUGAAGUCACCGUGUUUCAGUAUGAUUUUUUUUAUUCAGUAGUAACUAAUACAGUGCAUAAAGAUCAUGGUGGUGGUGGAGUGUUGGUUGCUGAACCUGAAGAGCAACAUAAACAAGGAAAAGAGAGAAGGUACUGAGGACACACUGAACCCAGUUUUGUGUGUUUAAGCAGUUUGAACCAGGAAUAGUUCUUCCUACAGGGGUUGCUUCCUUUUCUUCUUCCUCACCUCCUCCAAGUCUUUGCUGCCCUAAAAAAUAGCUGGACAGUUGCUUAAUCAACGUUGACUGCUAAACGUUGAAAUUUCUUCUAUUGAAUCUCCAAGAUUAUUGCUGUCACCACCUCCUUGCCUAUCGUGAACUCCUUCCCUGAAAUUUGCUAUGGUUCCUAAUAAGGAGGUCUGUACUUAACAGUGAUAGAUAAUAUCUUCAUCCAGCAGCCAUAGCCACUAGAAUAUAAAAAAAGUAAAAUGUCUGACAUUGCAAGGAUGUGGAGCAACGUGAACUUUUAUAAUUGCUAGUGGGAAUGCAAAAUGGGAUGAUCACUUGGGAAAACACUCUGACAGUAGUGUAUAGAGUUAAAUCUAAAUCUACCAUACGACCCAGUAAUCAUACUUCUGGAUAUCUAUCCAAGAGAAAUAAAAACUUAUGUGUACACAAAAGCUCAUAUUCAUUUUUUUUUGUUUUGUUUUGAGAGAGAGAGAGAGAGAAAGAAAGAGUGCAAGCAGGGGAGGGGCAGAGAGAGAGGGAGACAGAAUCCGAAGCAGGUUCCGGGCUCUGAGCCGUCAGCACAGAGCCCGAUGUGGGACUCGAACCCACCAACCUAUGGGAUCAUGACCUGAGCCGAAGUCAGAUGCUUAAUCUGAGCCACCCAGGCGCUCCUAUAUUAAAAUAUUUAUAGCAGUUUUAUUUGUAAUAGUCCAAAGCUAGAAACAAUCCAGAUGUUCAUCAACUACUGAAUAGAUAAGCAGACUGUGGUGUUACAGAUUAUCCUCUAUUCCCCUUUGUCUGUCUUUCUCAGGAUUCUCUCAAUGAGCGCCUUUCAUCUAGCACCAUAAUCGGUCAUAUUCCUCAUAGGCCUUUGGGGUAGGGCUCAACUGGGAGGGCAUUAUUUUCUCAGAAGGGAGAGCCAGUAAGUGGGGCCUUCUGCACUGACUUAGAUUUGUCCUUUUUUUAUGGGCCUGGGACAUUCACUUACCAAUUAGCUCUUAGAAGCCUCUAUUGGAAACAAGGUGCUUCUGAGAUUUUUGACGCAAGGGAUGCUGCUCAGAAUCCUAAGUGGCCUCCUUAAUAUUCUGCAUCACUAGCAAGGCUUACACAGCAAAUAUUCAUGCCCAUCAAAAAAAAAAAAAGUCUAAGAUAAAAGUGCAUGCAUAACAUAACACUUAGAGUUGUUGAAUCACUAUGUUGUACACCUGAAACUAAUGUAACGUUGUGCGUCAACCAUACUUCAAUUUUAAAAAGUGCAUGCAAGAAGUUCAUCGGGAUAAAAGGCCCAUUUUGGAAGCAGUGGGAAAGCUAGUAUAGGUCAAGUUAAAUCUAUCACAUACUUCAGUCCCUUAAGAGGGCUACUCUAUAGCUCACUAUAGUUUCAUUUAUUUUUCUUUUAAGCCUAUCUAAUGAUUCUUAACUUAGAACUGGAAAGCUACAUAGAGUACAUGAGUCAGGGCCAGGAUUUGCAGAGGUCAAGAAACUUCUUUAUUCUUUAUGAAUGGUUGCAGAGAGAACAUCAUCAUCAUCAUCGAUGAGAUUAUUUUUUUCUUCCUACUAAUGGUACAGCAUCUUCCUUCCAGAUCACUGUCAGCAUAUCCCUCGUCAAACAAGUCUAUAAUUCCAUCUCAAGCAACUCCUUUUACAGGCAUGACAAAGUCAUUGGCUGAUUUAAAUGAGGGAGGGGGGUUGAACAUUUAGCAUAAAGAUGAAGUAAAGGCAUUUUUAAAUUUUUUACUUUAUGUGAGCACUGGUGUCUAACUUUCCACACAGAAAAAAAAAUCACCAGUGAUGAAAAUAACAAUUAAAUGUAACUCGUAUAACACCGUACCACUGUAUGUUGUUUUGAUUCAUUGUUACCUCCUUUUUGUUUUUGUUUUGUUUUGCUUAUUUGUCUGGUCUUGGGUGCUCACUUAGAACCAGUGAGGCCACGGAAAGGUUAGACUUGAGACCAGUUCUUUGGGGGCUCUUUCUCGUUCUGCUGAGAGUGUUUCUUCAGCUGCCAACAAAAGAUGCGUGCACGAAUUCUUUUGCCUGUGUCAUGAUCAACUCCAGCUCCGUAGAUGAACCCAGCUGUGGCAAGUUGUUAAGUCCAAGUUUCAGGAUGACACAAAGGGAUUGAGUCAGGCAAGACCCAGAAGAUUUGGGGCCAAAUUAAAUGUUACUGCUCGAUGGGAAAGAAGAGAGGAAGGAGGAUGUGGAAAUACACAGCCCAGUUUCUGCUGAGAUGAUAGGCUCUGGAAACCCACCCCGCACGCUCACUGUUAACUCCAUACUGGUUUGUGUAUUUUCCGAAUCUGCAGUGGGUGGCUUCAGCAGUCACCCGGGGACCAGGCACCCGGCGCCCUGUGAUGACUUUUCCCUUUCACGGUUCUUGGGAUUUCUCUGGAAGGUUCUAAUUCAAAGGCAGCUUUUAUUUGGAAAGCUUCAGAAGUCAUUUCACUCUACACAUUAUAUGAGGAGUAAAAGGCUUGUUUACGUUUAGCUCCACUGCUCUUAAACCCUUCUACUUGUUCUUGCUGGUAAAAUUUAUUAUGUGAGUGGGAGAUUAUUCCUAGGUAUGGGGUUUGUGUUAGAAGUUACUUUUUUUUUCCAUUCUCAUUCACCAAAUAGGUACUGAGCACCCACUAGAUGUCGGGGUACAUGGGCAAAGCACCUGUUUCAGAGCUUGUGCAAAAACUCAGUUUCUGAGGUAGCCAAGCCCUGCACUUUUAGCCCUGCGUUGAACCACAGGUAGUGCUGACGGCCCUGUUCUUGUCAUGGCUGAAGGCUUCUGGGAGAUGGAUCUUUGGGGAGCUACCUUAGCUGAGGCUCUCUUGGUUGAAUCUCUAAGCACAGCAGCACAAGCCAAAGCUUCCUGUUGAGUAAUGUGGCCUAAGGGGAGAGAAAUGAGAGAAAGUUCAAAGUCAACAAUCUUACAAAACAAAUAAGCAAACAACCUUGCAAAUGUUUAUGAAUCCAUAAAAUUUCCUCUACUCUGCACAGUAGAAACCAUUGUGUUUAACACACCCAGGUUGUAGGAUCUUUGAAGACAGGCAGCGUACUUCUCUUCUUUUGCAUUGCUCAUUCAGUUAAGUUAAAAAAUACAUGGUCAUUGAUCAACAUGACAAAUCAGCUGGGGAGGGACUUGGGCCAUGAGUCAUCUGAGCCUGACCUGCAUAUCUUCAUUUUCAAAAUUUUCCUCAAGCCAGAAACUGAUGUAUUGAAUCUCUGUCAGUGUUUUUAGAGUGUAGGCUGCAGACCAGCCACGACACAAUCAUCAGGCUGAGGCCACAUUUAAUAACGCUUUUUUGAAAAUUCAGAUUUCUGGCUCUAUGCCAAAGACUUUCCUAAUCAGAAACUCAGAGAGUUAGGUCUGGAAAUCUGCAUUUUGAUAUCUCACGCAGGUAGAUCUUAUGCGCACUAAACACUGAAUGUCUCUGCUCGGGUUUCCUUGGGCUCUGUGCAAUUUUACUCUACGAACAAAGCUAGUAGAUGAUGCUUCUGCAAGACUUCAGGCAAUCCUGAGCAGGCUGCAUCGAGCUCUGCCACUUACCGGUCACAUGAUCCUGGCCAAGUGAUUUAACUUAUUCACGUCUCAAUUUUCCUUUCUGCAAAAUGUGGGUUAUAAAAGCACCUACCUUUGGAUGGAGGUGACUGAGUUUCAAGUAAGACAAUAUUUGCAAAGUGCUCAGAACUGUCCCUGGCAGAUAGGAAGGCCUGAUAACAGAUACCUAUUGUUACUGUUCUUGUUAUUCAACCAUUUGCAAAAACCGUGUCUUUUAUGCAAACGCAGGAACAACAAUAUAAGGUUGAUAUGCUAAUGUUAAGUGAGCUGCUUAGAAAAAGAAAGCUCUUCCAGUGACAGAGGCCAGCUGGAGACGGAAGUCAUUUGCUAGAAGAAAAGAGACUCAACGCCAGUCACAUCUUUCACAAGGUUGUUGCUUAAAGUCUGUGAAGAUCUUUUGCAACCAUCAUUUCAUUUGUGCUUCAUAAAAUCCCAUGAGGUUGCUAGAAGAAGAGAGAUGUCAGAGCAUGGGCGUGAAAAUGCAUGAUCUGUGCAGGCGACGGCCCUGAUAUUCACUCUACGACUUGAGCAAGUUGUAUAACGUUGCUGAGCUGCAGUUCCCCACUGCUGUGAACUGGGGAGAAAAUGUAUAAUAUAUAAUAUUACAUAUUAUAUGUGUAGAGCUCCUAGCACAAGGUCUCUAGCGUGGGAAAUGCUCACGAAACGUAACUGUUAUUGUUGUGAGUAAACCAAGCCUCUGAAUUCGCACAUCCAGCAAGCGGCUGACCUGUGGUUUGAGCCUAGACCAUCUGCCUAAGCCCAUUGCCAUCUCUACUAGAUCAAGUGCCUGUAAAUCUCAGACAGUUGUUGACAUUUUAUGGCAAUCCAUACUCUGAUUUCUUGAAGCCCUCUUAAUUUACCCAUAAAGCCUUGCUUAGUAUUGUCAGGGAUAAUCAUUUUUAAACAUGGCCUGCCAGCCAUGUUAUAAAAUAGCACACUGGCAGAGGAGGCCAUUCUACUUGAAUUAUUUAUCUGGAAACUUGACUUCCGGCUGCAGCACACGAGUCCCUCCCUAAGGUGCCUGGUUUGGGUCAGGUAGUUAAAACUCACCAAGCAGCUGCUGGUGCCGAAGGCUGUGAAUAUAGCGGUUCUGCAGGGCCUCCCACUGGGGCCUGGAAUUGUAAAUCCUCAUGAUGCUGUAAAAAUAGCGCUGCUGCCCUUGGGUUAGGUCCUGUCGGAGCAGAGCAGGUGAUUUUGAUGAGUUGGUGGAAUUCUCUAGGACUAUGAGUGUGAUGUAUUCAAAGCUGACUUCUUU